UGGGGAAUAUUGCACAAUGGGCGCAAGCCUGAUGCAGCCAUGCCGCGUGUGUGAAGAAGGCCUCGGGUUGUAAAGCACUUUCAGCGAGGAGGAAGGUGGUGAGCUUAAUACGCUCAUCAAUUGACGUUACUCGCAGAAGAAGCACCGGCUAACUCCGUGCCAGCAGCCGCGGUAAUACGGAGGGUGCAAGCGUUAAUCGGAAUUACUGGGCGUAAAGCGCACGCAGGCGGUUUGUUAAGUCAGAUGUGAAAUCCCCGGGCUCAACCUGGGAACUGCAUUUGAAAACUGGCAAGCUAGAGUCUCGUAGAGGGGGGUAGAAUUCCAGGUGUAGCGGUGAAAUGCGUAGAGAUCUGGAGGAAUACCGGUGGCGAAGGCGGCCCCCUGGACGAAGACUGACGCUCAGGUGCGAAAAGCGUGGGGAGCAAAACAGGAUUAGAUACCCUGGUAGUCCACGCUGUAAAACGAUGUCGAUUUUGGAGGUUGUGCCCUUGAGGCGUGGNUUCCGGAGCUAACG
rnacentral:rRNA from 1 species